CUCUGGUCUCCUGACUCUGGCAGGGGGAACAUUUGCACUGUUCUUGUUCCUUACCCCAGGAGCUGGCCUAUUGCACAACCUCAGGAAACAGCCCCUAUGCAAUCCUGGCCCACAGAGCGGACAUGUUCUGGUUUUUAUUCAGCAGCUUUUUUAUGAAGUGUGUUUUCCUUUCCCAUCAUGUCAUCUGGAAGCAAUUCCUCCCAACAGCUGGAUUUGCUUUCACAAUUGGUAAACACCGCGAAUGGAAGGCCGGGGACGAUGCGGAGCUCCCCGGAGGAGCCUUGUCCCCACCCGCUUGGCUCGCGUUCUGAAGCUUAUCGCGGGUGCCUGCACAAGCCUCAUCAAAAUCGAGGGCGUCCUCCAGCAGGCGACCCACAUUGCAUUCCCCGCUUAAGAGGGUCAACGUGUUCUUCGGGGGAGAAAUUUUCUGAAUGCUUUGCAGAUAAAAUUGAUCAGAUGCAGGCCAGAUUGCCAGCUGCCGGGGCCGCGUGCGCCUGUGGAGGCCCCACCAGCGCGGGGCACCAGCGCCUCGGGGUCCGGGGGAGGCCUCUCUCUGCACCGCCGCCACCAAAGCCAGUAAGAGAGGGCAAAACCCCAAAGAGCACUGACUGGGCCGUCAAGGAAGAUGAAUGUCUCCCCAAAAGUGCUCCUCGGGGACAAGUUUCCACGCAGAUGCAACCGGGAACGCCGGCCAGGCUCCGGAAGGCGAGGCCCCAGAGCGCAGCGGCCUCCAAGCGCGGGCUCAGCCUGUCGCCUCCGCAGCCAGGGCCCAGGAGGCCGCUCUUCCGGGGUCACCAACACGGCUCGUUCUGAGCCUAGAGGCCCAGGGCACAGUGUGAGCCGGAAUACGGUGUAGGGGACACAGCUCAGGCCCCAGGCACUCCCUCCUGUCGCAGAAGAAAUGCUGUUCUUUGAUCAAUGUUUCUAAUGUGGGGAAACCAGCCGAGCACGUGGCUGAACUCUCGGAGGGAGCACGGGGUGCUGGUGAGCCCCCGCUCUGAUGCACAGAGACGCUGCUGGCCAGGCUGGGGUGGGUUGCAAAGGCUUCCUUCCAUGCACCACCAACCCUGUGGGCAGCCAGGGCCUAGCUCUCAUGAAGGGGCCUUCCCAGGGCAAAGUGGGCCUCUGACUGCAACGUUCUCUGGGCAGAGAUAGGCAUCCUUCCCACUGCACAAACAAAAGGAGACCGUCAAGGGGAGAGGCUCACCAGAGGACCCUGGUGAGGGCGACGCCCAACUCCUCAGCACAAGGCUGUGCUUCUUCCAUGGAGCCCGUUUGCCUGGGCCCAGCGCGUGCGGAGUGCGUUCCUUCUCGCUCCCUCUGUCCUGUGGGCCCUCCUCUCUCUCCCUCCAGCCUGGUGGAAGCUUUAUUCUCGUCGGGGGCCAGAGGACAGAAACUACAUCAUACAUUUUCCCGUGCGUCAUGUUAUCUUGCCUGGAAUUUUGAAAAUCUGUGAGUUUCUGGUUUUUCCAUGGCAAGGCUCAUUCCUCCAGACCUUAGUCACUCUGCUCUGGCUGCCUGGACUGCUAGAGAGGGGCCUCAGGGCGCACCUGGAGAAAUUCACUGGGGCCCAGGUCAGAGGGAUGGGUGGGUGAGAGCAACCCCUUCCUUAAUAGUUCAAAAUGGCCCUCUGGCUUAAAGAGACCGAAGCCACGUAACAACCAAAUGCAAUGUGUGGGCCGUGUUUGGAUCCUGAUUCAAACAAACCAACUGGAAGAGGAGAUUUGGGGAUAAUCAGGAAGAUUUGAAUUGGGACUGCGUAGCAGAAAAUAGCAAAGAAUUAUUGUUAAUUUUGAUAUGUGCGAUAAUGGUGUGGUAGUUAUAGAAGAAAACAUGCUUAUCUUUUAAAUGGUGUAUAUUAAAGUAUUUAAGGGUGAAAAAAAAAAAAAA
rnacentral:lncRNA from 1 species